GAGCGGACCUGCGCUCUUUAGGGAAGUGCUGGUUAGCGGCGCACGGGUGAUUACACGUGGGCAACCUGCCUGUAAGAUCGGGAUAACUAUCGGAAACGAUAGCUAAGACCGAAUAAUUGGUUUUCUCGCAUGAGGGGAUCAUGAAAAGCGGAGCAAUCUGCUGCUUACGGAUGGGCCUGCGGCGCAUUAGCUAGUUGGUGAGGUAAGGGCUCACCAAGGCGACGAUGCGUAGCCGACCUGAGAGGGUGAGCGGCCACACUGGGACUGAGACACGGCCCAGACUCCUACGGGAGGCAGCAGUAGGGAAUCUUCCGCAAUGGACGAAAGUCUGACGGAGCAACGCCGCGUGAGUGAUGAAGGUUUUCGGAUCGUAAAGCUCUGUUGCCAAGGAAGAACAGCAAGGAGAGUAACUGCUCUUUGCGUGACGGUACUUGAGAAGAAAGCCCCGGCUAACUACGUGCCAGCAGCCGCGGUAAU
rnacentral:rRNA from 1 species